rnacentral:rRNA from 1 species
AUUGAACGCUGGCGGCAGGCCUAACACAUGCAAGUCGAGCGGUAGAGAGAAGCUUGCUUCUCUUGAGAGCGGCGGACGGGUGAGUAAUGCCUAGGAAUCUGCCUGGUAGUGGGGGAUAACGUCCGGAAACGGACGCUAAUACCGCAUACGUCCUACGGGAGAAAGCAGGGGACCUUCGGGCCUUGCGCUAUCAGAUGAGCCUAGGUCGGAUUAGCUAGUUGGUGAGGUAAUGGCUCACCAAGGCGACGAUCCGUAACUGGUCUGAGAGGAUGAUCAGUCACACUGGAACUGAGACACGGUCCAGACUCCUACGGGAGGCAGCAGUGGGGAAUAUUGGACAAUGGGCGAAAGCCUGAUCCAGCCAUGCCGCGUGUGUGAAGAAGGUCUUCGGAUUGUAAAGCACUUUAAGUUGGGAGGAAGGGCCAUUACCUAAUACGUGAUGGUUUUGACGUUACCGACAGAAUAAGCACCGGCUAACUCUGUGCCAGCAGCCGCGGUAAUACAGAGGGUGCAAGCGUUAAUCGGAAUUACUGGGCGUAAAGCGCGCGUAGGUGGUUUGUUAAGUUGGAUGUGAAAUCCCCGGGCUCAACCUGGGAACUGCAUUCAAAACUGACUGACUAGAGUAUGGGAGAGGAUGGUAGAAUUCCAGGU